GACGUAGGGGGCCAGCGUUGCUCGGAAUUACUGGGCGUAAAGGGUUCGUAGGCGGUGCGGCAAGUCGGAAGUGAAAUCUCUGGGCUUAACUCAGAGGCUGCUCCCGAAACUGCCGUGCUUGAGUGCGGGAGAGGCGAGUGGAAUUGCAGGUGUAGCGGUGAAAUGCGUAGAUAUCUGCAGGAACACCCGUGGCGAAGGCGGCUCGCUGGACCGCAACUGACGCUGAGGCGCGAAAGCUAGGGGAGCAAACAGG
rnacentral:rRNA from 1 species